rnacentral:lncRNA from 1 species
CAAAGCCAAUUUAAUGGCCAACAAAUUGUCUAGCACUACUGAUCCUAUGCUUCUCUCAUUCAGUAUCCAAGCUGCACAUUUCUGGCCCAUGUUGUUUUCUGCUGUGACUCCAAUUCCCAUCUUUUGACCUUCCACAUGUUGUCCCACAUACAUAUUUUCAACAGAUUUUCAUCCUCCCCCACUCUUUCCUCAAAUUCUUCUGAUGUUUCUGUUUCUGAGGUGCUCAUCUAAUACUUAGUCUGUUGUGAUUGGCAAUAUUCCUCCCAAUCCUUAAUUGCUUUUCUGACUAUUUCCAUUGGAUGUCUAUCUUUCUCUUCGAAUUCUGAUUCAUUCCUGACUUUCCAAAUCUGCCAAAGUAUAUCCACCGUUAAAGCUAUGUGUUCCAUUCCAUCCUUUCUGUUCUGUACCUCCAUUAACAUGCUCCACCAUCUUCUAAAGUCCCCUGUGUAUUCCUUAAGUCCAUCCCAUUGGAGGGGUGCCAUCUGUCAUAUCAUUUGUGCUUUUCUGCAAUGAAAAAAUAUAUGUUCCACUGUCUCACUGUUUUCUCCACACACCUUGCAGAUCAUGUCCCCCUUUCCUGUUCUUUU